rnacentral:rRNA from 1 species
ACAGAGGUGGCAAGCGUUGUUCGGAAUUACUGGGCGUAAAGGGCUCGUAGGCGGCCAACUAAGUCAGACGUGAAAUCCCUCAGCUUAACUGGGGAACUGCGUCUGAGACUGGUGAGCUUGAGUGCAGGAGAGGAACGCGGAAUUCCAGGUGUAGCGGUGAAAUGCGUAGAUAUCUGGAGGAACACCGGUGGCGAAGGCGGCGUUCUGGACUGCAACUGACACUGAGAAACGAAAGCCAGGGGAGCAAACGGGA